rnacentral:rRNA from 1 species
UACGUAGGGGCCAAGCGUUGUCCGGAUUUAUUGGGCGUAAAGAGCUCGUAGGCGGUUGGGUAAGUCGGGUGUGAAAGCCCGGGGCUCAACCCCGGAACGGCACCCGAUACUCCGAGGCUCGAGACCGGGAGAGGAGGGUGGAAUACCCAGUGUAGAGGUGAAAUUCGUAGAUAUUGGGUGGAACACCGGUGGCGAAAGCGGCUCUCUGGCCCGGUUCUGACGCUGAGGCGCGAAAGCGUGGGGAGCAAACAGG